UGAUCCUAGAAUCAUCACCUGUUCCAAUUUAUCCACGUUGGCAAGGAAACUGGUACAUUUUUAUUUAUUUUUUUUAAUGAAGAGGCAAAUGCUGGAACAGAUGUUUCAUAGAUGUAGAAGGUGCACUGAACUUCACCAGGGAAUGGGUGCCUGAGUGCUCUCUGCAUAUACAAAAGCUGAUACAAAUACCUUGCUUUCUUGACCAUUACACUUCUUGAAACCAAGAAUUUCCAAAUACUUUAACUCUCCAGUUCUGCAAGCUCAAGUACAGAGAUCAUGAGUUUCUCAGGCCAAUUUUGUCCAUGCUGCAUUCGCCUAUUUGCAAUUCCUGACAUAUUACACAGUGGACAGGAUGGAGCAAGCAGCUGCCCUCAGGCACCAUGGCUGACCAACAACCUCAAGGUGAAACUGCAGAAGUUGAAGAUAUGGCCCCCACCAAACUUUGGCCUAGUACCUGCUGCUGAGUCAGAAUACAUCUUGGGACAGAAGAUGCUAGAAGCAAAUAUUUUGAAAUGUCUGAAAGCAAAGGUUAAACAAGUUGACAAUAACAAAUGCGCUGGCUCCAAUGGCCGUUUCCAUUUCCUGCUGUAG
rnacentral:lncRNA from 1 species